AAGACUAUAGACCUGCGGAGUACCUGCGGAGGGAUCAUUAUCGAGUGAAGGGCUCUCUAAGAACCCGACCUCCCAACCCUUGUGUUUCUUACCACUUUGCUUCGGCGGGCCCGUCACUGCUGUGACCGCCGAAGGGUUAUGUUUUUUUUUUUAAACUAGCCUUUGGGCCCGUGCCCGCCGGAGAUACCUGAAUGCUUGUUAUGAAAUAGGAUGUCUGAGUGAUAAAGAAAAUAAGUUAAA
rnacentral:misc_RNA from 1 species